UUGAACGCUGGCGGCAUGCCUUACACAUGCAAGUCGAACGGCAGCACGGGAGCAAUCCUGGUGGCGAGUGGCGAACGGGUGAGUAACAUAUCGGAACGUACCCUGUCGUGGGGGAUAACACAGCGAAAGCUGUGCUAAUACCGCAUACGACCUGAGGGUGAAAGCGGGGGAUCGCAAGACCUCGCGCGAUAGGAGCGGCCGAUAUCGGAUUAGCUUGUUGGUGAGGUAAAGGCUCACCAAGGCGACGAUCCGUAGCUGGUCUGAGAGGACGACCAGCCCCACUGGAACUGAGACACGGUCCAGACUCCUACGGGAGGCAGCAGUGGGGAAUUUUGGACAAUGGGCGCAAGCCUGAUCCAGCAAUGCCGCGUGCAGGAUGAAGGCCUUCGGGUUGUAAACUGCUUUUGUACGGAACGAAACGGUUCUCUUUAAUAAAGAGGGCUAAUGACGGUACCGUAAGAAUAAGCACCGGCUAACUACGU
rnacentral:rRNA from 1 species